UAACAGAAAACAAAUCAGGAUCUGAAUUAAAAUAAAAUAAAAAUGUGAUUUCUUCUUUAAUUACAACACUAAAAUAGAUUAAUUGCCAGCAAACAAAAAAGUUGCGUGGUGGAAGAGAAAGUCGAAAUUUGAAAUUAAAUAAAUAAAAAGUAGAUCACAGAUAAUUAAGGCCAGCUGACGAACAAAGACAACCUUUGCUUUUAGUAACAACAUAUUUAAAAAUUAAAAAAAAAGUACAAAUAAAAAAUAAAACCCCGGGAACGAAGCUUUUGGGUAAAAAGCCGGCCGGAGUUCCAUGUCCGGCACGUGCAUGCAUGAACUUACGACAGUCAGAAGAAGAACCAACCUGCAAGCAAAAACCACAUACGACGUCGUACAGCACAUACACAACUACAUAGGUGCCUCGUUCAAGUCUAAAACCCCAUUAAUCUCCUCCUCAUCAGCUUCAUUAAUAUUAAUCUCUUCAUCAUCUUCCACCACCUGGACAUGAUCUGCCGCCGCCGCUUCCACAACAAACUGCUCCGUCGACUCCAACGCAGCUCUGCAAUUACCAUUUUGUCCCUUGACAGCAACCCGCCAGCUUUCUCAAAGUACUUGAUCGCCGCCUGCAUCCUCCUCACUAUUGCAAAAAACUCCUCCACCUCCUCAUCCUCCGUGGCCACGUCACCGGCAACCCCCUUCUCCUCCUCCCGCUGCUGCUGCUGCUUUUGAUGCACCUUCUUCGCUCUCCUCCCAUGACACUUGUCAAUUUCUUCAUCUUUCUCUACCCUUUUUCUUCUCUCCAUUUUUUCACUCAUUCCCACUAAUUAUAAUUACCAGCUAAUCACAAUCUAUGAACUCCUUAAACCACUUUCUAUGUGAUUUGCGUGUUUAUCAAUGUAGCUUUCUUUGGAGCAAUUUAAUGGAACGGCCGAGGUAGCUGUUGUCUCUCAAGAUUCUUUAUUUGGUGGUUGGGUGAUCACUGCUCAGGAUCGUGACUUUUCUGUCAAUCUUAUGUUAUUUUAUUGUACUUCGAUUAUUUUCAACCGUUGGAUGAGCAUAGGUCCUUGAUGUCAUUCCAUUACGUACUGCUGACCGACGCACCAAUUGUUUUACCAUUACGACCGCAUCUAUCCUACGCGCGCAUCACGAUUCACAAUUCAUUGUUUAGCGGUGUUUAUCUCUCUUUCAAGGCAUGUUUUGUGAGUAAUACAUACUCGUAUGACCGUUGGACUUUAUUAAAUAAAAUUAUAUGAACGUUGAAUAAAGAUUGGGUUCAAUAAAAUUAGGGAAGUAUUAUGGAGAUUCUCAACAAUGAUUCUUUAAAGAUUUUUCAUCAUAUUAUUAUUGUGGCAUAAUUUUCAUGUCAACAUUAUAAAAUAAUGUGUAAACAAAAUAAGGUGACUGAGAGUCUCACUUUAAGAGAGCAUUCUUAGCAUUCCUCAUAAACUUAAUUGGUGAAGGAAAGAGUAGUCCAACUCUUAUAAAAUUCACGUAAGGUUCCUAACUUCCUGGUUCGAGGCGCAAUUUCACAUUCUCAUAAAUAGCUACAAUCAACGUUGUUGACUCAGUGUGUAAUUAUCUUAGAUUCCCUUAUAUGGUUUGUUCACAAUUUACCAGAAAAUAACUACUAGAACUAUUCUAAUUUCUAACUCAUCUACCUUUACUCACAUGUAUGUAUGUAGGCACACGAAUAUCGAAAGUACUAACUAGUGAGCGGUUUAUGUAUUUAUUUUUCGAUUUGGCCAAAUAAAAAAUUAUCACAUUUUUUUUUAAGUCCAAAAAAAAAAUUAAAUAACAUGUUUAUUAUUUCUUAAAACAAUAAAAUAUGUGUUAUAAUAGCAUGAACAAAAUUAAAAAAAAUUAAUAAUUCCUAGUUAAUAUCUAAGUAUUAUCCAACGAAUGUAUAACUCAUCUUGUUUGCAAUACUAUUUGAAAAAUUAUAAGCAACGUAUGUGGUCCGACAACAACGAGGAAAUUAAAUCUUCUGCACUUAUUAUCACAAAAUUAAUAUGUAUAAAAUAAUAAUUGAAGCUACAGAAAGACAAGACUAAUUAUUAGUGAAGAAGAUUUGAUAUCGACAUCGUGCGAGGAAUGAGACGCGUGGAGAGGGUUGGGAUGGUGGACGGACAAAGCAAACUUAUGUGGUCUCCUUCCUGGAUGGUUCAAGUAGACUAAAACAUGACCCACAACAUUUUUCUAGUGUUGCUUUGGUUGUUUGCUUCGUUGUAAGCUUUCGGUUUUCUCUGGCAUCUUUGCCGUGAAUGAAUUUUCCAGAUUUCCCAAAAAACAAAAAAAAACAUGACCCACAACUUGUAAGUCAACAUUUUAAUCAAUGAAAAUGUAUUUGGCAUUUUGGCGUCGCUAUGGUACUCCAACGACCAAAUUAAUAUCGUGCACCCGCACAAGUUCAUGCCGCGUGAUUGAGUUUUGAUUGAUUGAUGGAAACUCAAAACCAACCAACCAAACCCCUCUUUUCUCUUCGCUUUAGAAUCAAGCGGAUAGUGCUUUGUGGGGUCCCAUUGUUGUUGAUCAUGGUGGGGUGGUUAUGUGAUUAAUUAAUCUAAUCAUUCACAUUGAUCAACAAAUAUAUAAUCAUUCAUAGUUGAAUCGAGAAAAAUAGAAUUUAAAUUUCAAGACGUGGUAGGUGAGUUUUUCUUUAAUAAUUUUCUUUUGAAAGUUACGAGUUGGUGACUUUGUCACCACAAUUUAAUCUUUUAGAAACCGUCACCACAAUUCAUUCUUUUGUAAACUGAAAAGACUCGUAAAGGUAUUUUAGCUUUAUUCUGACUACUAUCAUGUGAUUUCAAGACGUGGUAGGUGAGUUCUUCUUUAAUAAUUUUCUUUUGAAAGUUACGGGUUGGUGACUUUGUCACCACAAUCCACUCUUUUGGGAACUGGAAAGACUCACAGAGACAUUUCAGCUUUACUCUGACCACUAUCGUGUGAUUCACCAGUACUAGAAAUCGAAUCCAAAAUGUGCAAUGUGAAAUAAGGGUCUAAAAUUAAUUUCCAACUACUAAAUGAUUUCGCGGUGAUUUUUGCAAUGAUGACCUCUCCUAAGUAAAUUCCAUUUUUGUAAAAUAUACCUAAUUUUGUCUUCAAAAAAAUAUUUUUAUCUCAAGUAAACACAUUACUCUAUUUUAUAGACAAAAAGUAUUAGAAUACAUCGGAGUUUGAAUAUAUUGACACAUGCCCUAAAGCCCAUUGAAAUAAGAUGGCACAAUGAAAUUAAAAAUUAAUCAUAAUAUAGAUACAAAACCUCUUUCCUACACAUAAUGGUGCUAUCACAUAUAAAUUUAGGAUGAAAUUAUAACAGUCUCACGGUGAGGUUUCAUAACACUGUCAUUUUUGGCGUUUUAAAUCUUCAUAUCUAGACAUUUGUUUUAUUUUUAGAAAUGUUAAGGAGAUUUUCUCAAAGCAUAACUUUUUAAAAUUUAUAAUUUAACGUCAAUUCUUAUCCAAUUAUAAAAUAUUUGAUACAUAUAAUUAUAAAAUAUUAUAUAAAAAAACAUGAUUUGAUAGAAAAUCCAUAAAAUUUCACUUUUAAAAAUAUUGUUAGCAUUUAUCUUAUAACUUUAUUGAAUGACAACAGAUGCUUAGGACAACGAAGUGUUAGGUGUCAAUAUUCUCGAUUUAUGUGAGUCCACUGAUGCCCGUAAGCAGUUCGAUUGAAUUAUUUAACGUAGCGGACUAGCGGGGCCAUUGAGAAAAGAUUGCCAUUACUAGAUCUUCGACACCUUCCUCCUACUAUGAUACCAGUUGCCAUAAAGCAACUUGUUCGAUUCAGGUCUAUCCUAGUAGCCCCUUGAAUGUUUGCUUCAUGAGAAUAAUUUAUAUUUCAGGGUAUAUUAUUAUUGGAACAUGUUAAUGAUACAAUAUUAUUUAUUGAAGAAAAAUUUAUGCAUAUCGUUGUAUCAAUUAUAUGAGAUACUACAAUUAUAAUGUACACGUGUUAUAUAAAAUAUUAUCCAUCAAGAAAGAGGCGGAACAUACCGCACUAAAAAACAAUAGUAGAGAGGACACCACUUUAUUUACCUCCUCUUUUCUUCUCCCUUGGGGCCAUGAAUAUAAAGAAAUUAGUGACAUGGAAGAUAGAUUGCUGGUGGUGACGUCAAAUCAUCAGCAGUAUUGAAAUAUGCAUGUAUAAUAUCAUAUUAAUUUCAAAACUUGUGUUAUUCACACGCCACAAAUUGAGAAAACUUUUAUUGUGACAGGAACAUGGGUGGUAUAAUAUGUGCUUUUACGUAAGUGAUGAGAAUUUUUAUUUUUUAAGUUAUUAACUUUUUAACAUAUAUAUUUCAUUAUUUGUAUAAUGACAUAUAAUGUAUCAUCCUGUGUACCGAUCACAUUGAAAAUCUCUCCGCAAAUUGUUGAAAAAACCUCACUUUGAAAAAUUUGUCUCAACAAUUUUAGCUUUACCAUUCCUUUUCUUUAAUCCACCCAACCUGCCAAAAACAAAAAAAACUCUAGAGCCUUCGACUCCAUCAUCACACUGUUAUCGGUGACCGAUUGUAAGAUCCGCAGCUUUUCCUUAAUGAGCUUAUGUCGAAACAAGUUUUACAAGUUGUUGGGAGAUGGUGCGAAAGUGCACGAGAAGAGCUUUAGGGUUCUUGUGAACAGUUUCUAUGAGUGCCUCAAAUGGAUUGAAUUGAAGAAACGUAAUUAUAGCAAAGAAGAUGGACAACGAAAAAGCAAAAAGCGAUUGCCUGAGUAAUCUAUAUUAUUAUUAAGAGAACCUUCCUUAUCAACUUUUGUUAUUUUUUUUUUAUUUUGCCCUCAUUUUUUAUACAUAAUACUUACCUAAGGAUGACAAAAUAGUAAUUUUGUAUCUUUUGAGAAAAUGACAAUCAUACCUCUAUUUUUCCUAUUUUACCCUCACUUUUGAUACACAAUAUUUACAUAAAGAACAGUAAUUAUGCAAUAUUAAGAUAAAAUAUGUAUUCAUUAAGAGAAAUUGUCUCACCAUCAUUAUUUCAUACUCUUUUUAAAAUUUUAAAAACUAAUCACACUCCUUAAUAAAAAAACAAAAAACAAAAUGAAAUUGUUCACACACGAGCAUGUGCUCAUCUGCUAGUUAGGAAUAAUGUGAUGAGUAGCACACAAUUUCAAUUCAUAUACUUGAAAACAACAAUAUAUGCACGAGAAUAAGGCUCCUUCAAUUAUAAUAUCAAGGAAGCGCUCUUGUCUUUGGUUGAUCAGAAAGAAAACCACCGGCGACGGUUGGGUGGGUGGUUGUGGGAAUUUUUUGGUUUUGAGAGGUGAAGUGUAUUCAACAAAAGAAUUGAUAAAACUAAAAUUGUUGACAUAAAUUUUAAUUGUGAAGUGUUUUCAACAAUUUGCAAAAAAUAACCCUAAUUUGAAUAAUAAUAGAUACAAAGUUUCAUUACUAGACAUAAUCAACCAAAGUCUAUUGACUAUAAAUAACUAAAAUAACUUAAAAAACGACUCAGUCAAAUGAAUCUUUUACUGUUCUUGUGCUUCUUUGUUUAAAAAGACGAAUCUCUUAAAUAAAUAAUAAAGAAAAUUACAAAUUUGUAGAGAGAAGUGGGUGGAUACAAAGCCUCCUCUUCUUUUUAAUUAAAUUAUUAUUCGUCCUUGUUGAAAAAAAUAAUAUUGUCAUUCAUCAUAUAGAAAGUUGAAUUUUUGGGCAGUUUCAAACAGUUGAAUCAAAACGUGAUGGUGAAUGCCAAAUUUGAUUGAGACGUUUAUAAAUGAUGUUCAAAUCUGCUUCUUAAUUAAUUUAGUCUUUGCCUAACUUGCCAUAUUUUCUCGAAAGGUAGACUAUUGACCAAAGAACUUUUUCUGCCGGUGUCUUUGAAGUUAAUUUGUUGCACCGACAACUCACGAAACCAAAACUCUCAGCCUUAAUUAAUUAACAAUCCUAGCUAAAGUAAAAAUAAUAGAUAAGACUAAUACAUAAAGAUACCAAAGAAAGCAACGAAGAGGUUGCGGGUCUGCGGUACCUGUUUUAGUGUCUCGUUUAUGUGUUCUUAGUUGGUUGACAUGUGUCCAUUUAGUUAACUUAAAAAUUAACGCAGUUAACUUUCGAUCUAUUAAAAUACAAAACUUAAAAUAAAAUAAAAGAUAAAAAUAUACAAGCGUUAACUCCUCCCGUCUGUGCACUACCCCAUAUUGUUAAUGGCUAAAUAGUCAAAAUGGUCAAUGAGAUUUGGAUAACUCAUCACUUUGGUCUCUGAGAUUCUAAAUCAAUAAAAGUGGUCUCUGAGAUUGUCCACCAUCAAUCAUUUUGGUCAUUCCGUUAAAAACUCUGUUAAAUGUCCCGGAACUCUUGGCCGGAAGUUUGGGCAAUUUUCAAAACUUCAUAACUCAUCGUUUCUUAACCAAAUUCGACCAAUAAUAUAUCAAAAUGAAAAUAGGAAAGUGUAGAAUACGAUUAUACCUAUUUUGGAAGCCCAAUGGUUGCCGGAGAUGGCCUGAAAAUAACCUCAAAGUUGACCGGUCCGAGCGAAAACUGGAAAACUCGCCGGAAACUAGGUAAACUUUAAAUGUUCAUAACUUCUUCAAUACUCAACGAAAUCAAGUGAUUUAAAAAUGAAAAUCAUACUUCUCGAUGAGACAAAGAGAAUAGUACCUUUUUUAUGGCUAGAUUGCAUUGGUUUGGCCGGAAAACGGCUCAAAAGUGGCUAACUCUAGACCAAGACAGCCAAUUUCGAGUCCUUUUUCGGCCAAAACAAGGUGAUUUAGCUGUAAAAAAAAAGGUACCAUUCUCUUCGUCUCGUUGAGAAGUAUGAUUUUCAUUUUUGAAUCACUUAAUUUCGUUGAGUAUUGAAGAAGUUAUGAAUGUUUAAAGUUUAUCCAGUUUCUGGCAAGUUUUCCAGUUUUCCCUUAGACCAGUCAACUUUAAGGCUAUUUUCCGGCCAUCUCCAGCAACCAUUGGGCUUCUAAAUAGACAUAAUCUUAUUCUACACUUUCCUAUCUUCAUUUUGAUAUUUUAUGGGUCGAAUUUGAUUAAGAAACGAUUGAGUUAUGAAGCUUUGAAAAUUGCCCAAACUUCCGGCCAAGAGUCCCAGGACACUUAACGGAGUUUUUAAUGGAAUGACCAAAAUGAUGGAUGGUGGACAAUCUCAGGGACCACUUUUAUUGAUUUGGAAUCUUAGGGACCAAAGUAAUGAGUUAUGCAAAUCUCAAGGACCAUUUUGGCUAUUUAGCCUUAAUUUUCAAUCUAAAUGAGACAUAAACGAGACAUCAAAAUCAGGACAACAAACCCGCAACCAGCAAGGAGGGAUGAGGAUCCUCACAUUAUAAUCGUUCAUCGUAUAUUGUACGGUCAGUGUUCGUCAUAUAUUGUUUGUAUUUAAUUUUAACUAAAAAAUUCAAAAUGAUUUCUAGUACGAUGUACAAUGAACGGAUAGAAUGUGAGGAUCCUAAAAAGGAUCCGGAUGGGAUCCAACGAGGAGCAAGGAACAUGCACGUAAUUGCAUGGAAAUGCAUAUAUAUUGCAAUAUUACGUUUCUUAGUGAUGAUGAGUUGACAUCACUCUAAAA
rnacentral:lncRNA from 1 species